rnacentral:lncRNA from 1 species
UCAUCAUAAUAAUCGAUUUCGACUUGAUCGAUUAUGUUUUUACGUCGAUCGAUUGAUUACAAUCAGGGUUGCAUCCCCGAUUAGGCACCCCGAUACAAUCCCGAUUGAGAUCGUGGUUCAAAAAUUUUAGCCCAAUUCCAAAAGUGAUGGGUUAUCCGAAUCAAUCUGUGAAGAUCGGCGUGCGACAACGAAAUCUACCGCUAGAUGGCGAAAAGUUUGAUCGUUAAAAAUAAUCAGAUCGGAUAAAUUUUUUUUGAUCGCAGAUCCGAUCUCCGAUUUCAACUAUGGACAUACGUGUACGACAAUUCGACUAUGGCAGGACGUGUGGAACGCCUGCACUUCCAUCUUCUACGAAUUAUUAACAAAAAUGGAGCGAGAACGAGUCCUGGAUCGGUUCUCUGAAGUGGAUAUUUAUUGCCUUCAUUUAGUAUUUCUACCAAUUAUGCAGCAACAUAUAGAAGAAUAUUUCCCUGAGAGAUUUACCUUGGUAAAGAUGGAAGGCUAUGCCGUGGUUAUUUGGCCCCAAAAUGUUUAUUGUUUCCCCAGGGGUUCCAGCCGGGUUUUGAUUGGUUGAAAAUUAUUGUGUGUAAACAGGGGAGUUGUUCGUUUUCAUUUAUUUUUUAUCUGAUUCGCGUAUUAAACUUCGUGCCAAUGGGUUGUUUCUAAAUAUGUAGGUUUGUUUGUUAAUUUUAUAAAUUUUUUUUAUCGAAAUUCAAAUUUCGGUCGUGAAAGUCGGGUUCUGAUUGGUUGGUGGCAGGUUGGUGGAUUUAGGGACCCUCCUGUGCCGCAGGUUUUCGUUUUUUGGGUGAAAUUUUGUUACAGUUGGAUUCUCCAUGUAAAACUGUAUGGAAUAGGGUAUUUUUUGUGAUGAAAGGUUGGUUUGUUAAUUUUUAAUUUGUGUUGGUUUAGAAAGGACGAGGGCGGCUGUCAUUUGUCAUUUGUUUUUUAUGCUGUCAUGGAGAGAAGCGGAAAACGUCAGGUUUUUCGACGGUUCAGCCCACGCAGCCCCACAUAAUCUCGAAGGCCGACACCCAGUGGCGUUAUUGACUCAUUGAAUCUUCAUACUAUCCGCACGGCGCCGUCCUCCAUGUCUGACAUUUGUCUAUUUAUAAGGGGACACAUCUUUAAAGAGAAGAGCAGCUGCGAAAAAUAAACUGUUUAAGGAAUUAGAACAGAAUAUGGACUUUGAACAAUCUAUCGAGGAAGACGUGUCCAUCGAUACCGAAGCAGUGGAGGUUCCGGAAAUCAGAAUACAUAUUGACGAACGAGUCGAACGACGUCUAAAACAAAAAUACGGCCAUCUUCUUUGUAGACUUCCAAUCGCAAAGAAAAGAUACCUCAGACUUCGUGGAGAAGUAAUUUCUAGCUUGACUGCAUAAUUGUUUAGUAGGUCUAUUUUCAAAAACAAAUACAGAACUUUGAAUGCAAAAAUUAUCUUUUCCCUUACCUUAUCCUUUUAGAAAACGCCUUACUGACUUGUCCUGCAGAAAAUUGCAGUUUUCUUACCUGCAAAAAAUUCAAAAUAUUAAAACAAUACAAAUUUUUAUGAACUAUAAAACUGUUUCCUUCAGCUUUUCCCGACAUAGAGUAAAGUGCGAAAUGGACUGGAAUCGGCUGCACAGCAAACUUU